rnacentral:rRNA from 1 species
UACGUAGGUGGCAAGCGUUGUCCGGAAUUACUGGGUGUAAAGGGAGCGUAGGCGGGUGAUUAAGUUGGAUGUGUAAUACCGAGGCUCAACCUCGGGGCUGCAUCCAAAACUGGUUAUCUUGAGUGGGGUAGAGGCAAGUGGAAUUCCUAGUGUAGCGGUGAAAUGCGUAGAUAUUAGGAGGAACACCAGUGGCGAAGGCGACUUGCUGGGCCCUAACUGACGCUGAGGCUCGAAAGCGUGGGGAGCAAACAGG